CAUAGGUUAAUGAGGCGAACCGGGGGAACUGAAACAUCUAAGUACCCCGAGGAAAAGAAAUCAACCGAGAUUCCCCCAGUAGCGGCGAGCGAACGGGGAGGAGCCCAGAGCCUGAAUCAGUGUGUGUGUUAGUGGAAGCGUCUGGAAAGGCGCGCGAUACAGGGUGACAGCCCCGUACACAAAAAUGCACAUAUUGUGAGCUCGAUGAGUAGGGCGGGACACGUGGUAUCCUGUCUGAAUAUGGGGGGACCAUCCUCCAAGGCUAAAUACUCCUGACUGACCGAUAGUGAACCAGUACCGUGAGGGAAAGGCGAAAAGAACCCCGGCGAGGGGAGUGAAAAAGAACCUGAAACCGUGUACGUACAAGCAGUGGGAGCCUCUUUAUGGGGUGACUGCGUACCUUUUGUAUAAUGGGUCAGCGACUUAUAUUCUGUAGCAAGGUUAACCGAAUAGGGGAGCCGAAGGGAAACCGAGUCUUAACUGGGCGUUAAGUUGCAGGGUAUAGACCCGAAACCCGGUGAUCUAGCCAUGGGCAGGUUGAAGGUUGGGUAACACUAACUGGAGGACCGAACCGACUAAUGUUGAAAAAUUAGCGGAUGACUUGUGGCUGGGGGUGAAAGGCCAAUCAAACCGGGAGAUAGCUGGUUCUCCCCGAAAGCUAUUUAGGUAGCGCCUCGUGAAUUCAUCUCCGGGGGUAGAGCACUGUUUCGGCAAGGGGGUCAUCCCGACUUACCAACCCGAUGCAAACUGCGAAUACCGGAGAAUGUUAUCACGGGAGACACACGGCGGGUGCUAACGUCCGUCGUGAAGAGGGAAACAACCCAGACCGCCAGCUAAGGUCCCAAAGUCAUGGUUAAGUGGGAAACGAUGUGGGAAGGCCCAGACAGCCAGGAUGUUGGCUUAGAAGCAGCCAUCAUUUAAAGAAAGCGUAAUAGCUCACUGGUCGAGUCGGCCUGCGCGGAAGAUGUAACGGGGCUAAACCAUG
rnacentral:rRNA from 1 species